GAUGAACGCUGGCGGCGUGCCUAAUACAUGCAAGUCGAGCGAACAGACGAGGAGCUUGCUCCUCUGACGUUAGCGGCGGACGGGUGAGUAACACGUGGAUAACCUACCUAUAAGACUGGGAUAACUUCGGGAAACCGGCGCUAAUACCGGAUAAUAUAUUGAACCGCAUGGUUCAAUAGUGAAAGACGGUUUUGCUGUCACUUAUAGAUGGAUCCGCGCCGCAUUAGCUAGUUGGUAAGGUAACGGCUUACCAAGGCAACGAUGCGUAGCCGACCUGAGAGGGUGAUCGGCCACACUGGAACUGAGACACGGUCCAGACUCCUACGGGAGGCAGCAGUAGGGAAUCUUCCGCAAUGGGCGAAAGCUUGACGGAGCAACGCCGCGUGAGUGAUGAAGGUCUUCGGAUCGUAAAACUCUGUUAUUAGGGAAGAACAAAUGUGUAAGUAACUAUGCACGUCUUGACGGUACCUAGUCAGAAAGCCACGGCUAACUACGUG
rnacentral:rRNA from 1 species